ACGGGUGAGUAAUACAUCGGAACGUGCCCGAGAGUGGGGGAUAACGAAGCGAAAGCUUUGCUAAUACCGCAUACGAUCUCAGGAUGAAAGCAGGGGACCGCAAGGCCUUGCGCUCACGGAGCGGCCGAUGGCAGAUUAGGUAGUUGGUGGGAUAAAGGCUUACCAAGCCGACGAUCUGUAGCUGGUCUGAGAGGACGACCAGCCACACUGAGACUGAGACACGGCCCAGACUCCUACGGGAGGCAGCAGUGGGGAAUUUUGGACAAUGGGCGCAAGCCUGAUCCAGCCAUGCCGCGUGCAGGAUGAAGGCCUUCGGGUUGUAAACUGCUUUUGUACGGAACGAAAAGACUCCUUCUAAUAAAGGGGGUCCAUGACGGUACCGUAAGAAUAAGCACCGGCUAACUACGUGCCAGCAGCCGCGGUAAUACGUAGGGUGCGAGCGUUAAUCGGAAUUACUGGGCGUAAAGCGUGCGCAGGCGGUGAUGUAAGACAGAUGUGAAAUCCCCGGGCUCAACCUGGGAACUGCAUUUGUGACUGCAUCGCUGGAGUGCGGCAGAGGGGGAUGGAAUUCCGCGUGUAGCAGUGA
rnacentral:rRNA from 1 species